CUAUACAUGCAAGUCGAGCGGAGAAAUGGGAGCUUGCUCCCAUUUCUCAGCGGCGGACGGGUGAGUAACACGUGGGCAACCUGCCCUACAGACUGGGAUAACUCCGGGAAACCGGAGCUAAUACCGGGUAAUACAUAGCAUCGCAUGAUGCAACGUUGAAAGUUGGCCUUUGGCUAACACUGUAGGAUGGGCCCGCGGCGCAUUAGCUAGUUGGUAAGGUAACGGCUUACCAAGGCCACGAUGCGUAGCCGACCUGAGAGGGUGAUCGGCCACACUGGGACUGAGACACGGCCCAGACUCCUACGGGAGGCAGCAGUAGGGAAUCUUCCGCAAUGGACGAAAGUCUGACGGAGCAACGCCGCGUGAGUGACGAAGGCCUUCGGGUCGUAAAGCUCUGUUGUUAGGGAAGAACAAGUACCGUUCGAAUAGGGCGGUACCUUGACGGUACCUAACCAGAAAGCCACGGCUAACUACGUGCCAGCAGCCGCGGUAAUACGUAGGUGGCAAGCGUUGUCCGGAAUUAUUGGGCGUAAAGCGCGCGCAGGCGGUCUCUUAAGUCUGAUGUGAAAGCCCACGGCUCAACCGUGGAGGGCCAUUGGAAACUGGGGGACUUGAGUGCAGAAGAGGAGAGUGGAAUUCCACGUGUAGCGGUGAAAUGCGUAGAUAUGUGGAGGAACACCAGUGGCGAAGGCGGCUCUCUGGUCUGUAACUGACGCUGAGGCGCGAAAGCGUGGGGAGCAAACAGGAUUAGAUACCCUGGUAGUCCACGCCGUAAACGAUGAGUGCUAGUGUUUGUGGGGGGUUCCACCUCCGUGGCUGAAUUUAACCCAUUAAGCACUCCGCCCGGGGGAAUACGACCGCCAAGGUUGAAACUCAAAGGAAUUGACGGGGGCCCGCACAAGCAGUGGAACCAGGUGGUUUAAUUCGAAGCAACGCGAAGAACCUUACCAGGUCUUGACAUCCUCUGCCACUCCUAGAGGAUAGGACGUUCCCCUUCGGGGGACAGAAUGACAGGUGGUGCAUGGUUGUCGUCACCUCCUGUCCUGAGAAGUUGGGGUUAAUUCCCGCCACCAACGCCACCCCUUGAUCUUAUUUGCCGCCAUUCAUUUGGGGCCCCUAAGGUGACUGCCGGUGACAAACCCCAGGAAAGGCAGGGGGGAACCUCCAAUCAUUCUUCGCCCCUU
rnacentral:rRNA from 1 species